ACUNGUAUGUGUGUCUGACGGCAACGUAACAGAAUGUGGAGACGUCGGCGUGAAUCCCAAAAGGAGUUUUCUNUUCUUUUUAACCGUAAACCACCCUGGAAUCGGUUUAUCCGGAGAGCGGGUNCUACACGGUNAGAGCGGGUCCGCCNGUUUGGUGCAUUCACGACGGCCCUUGAAAAUCCGCAGGACGAUCCGAUUUCACGACAAGUCGUACU
rnacentral:rRNA from 1 species